rnacentral:lncRNA from 1 species
UAUAAGCUUUGUUGUCAACAAACACAUUGGCACUUACUCCUUUCUUUACUCUCACCACAAUAGGCUUUCUUGGCAAGCAAGUUGUGUUAACACAACUACUCAAUUCAACAUUCUGUAGAGAAUAAGUGAAAAAAUGAGUCUCAAAUAAUUAUAUGUUUUCAUUAGUGUAAAGGCUCAAAAUGAGAUUUGGAUUGUGUUCAAACUUCACAACCCCAUGUCUGCACGUGAUCCAUUACAUUUAAUUUUAUUGUUCAACUUAUUUUCACACGGAUAUAUCUAAACAUAAACAGUUUUACCUUAAACUCACUUUUAACUAUAAUAAACUAAAUCAAAAUCAAUUUUGUCACCGUAGAAUCAAACAAAUACUUAUAAUUAGAUGAUGAAUCGCAGUUGAGCUCACCUUGAGUUUUCUUGCGAUUUCGAAGUAAGUUUUGUCAACUGGAACCCAAAAAGCAUGUUGCAAAACUUCAGGUGUUCCAUCCACAGGAAAAAUUUCCUCUGGUUGAUACCAAACCUUGCUCAAAAGAUUUUCCACUGAUUUUGAAUGCUUUGUGUAGUUAUUGUAAUUGGAAAACUUAAGAUAACCAAAUUCUUUGCUGAAAUCUACAUUCUCCUCAUCCUCAGGAUUAUCUCCAAACCUCUGCUAAGUUUAAUUAGAAAAGUUAGACUUAAAUCAAAAUUAUCAUAUUUAAGGUUAAAUGCACUUUUGAUCAUCUUAUUUUGUUUGAUUCACAAUUUUAAUCAUCUCGUUAUAAAUUCGAAAAUUAAAUCCCAAAACUUGAUUUUAGAAACUUUUGAACUUAUUUUUUUCUUCUUUUGAUAUACCAUGUUGAUUAAACUUACUUUGAAAUUGUGAUAAAAUAGAAUAAUUGUGAUAAAAUAGAAUAAUAAAAUUUAAUCCAUGCAUGCAUUGCCGCACUACUCUAUGACUCAGCAACUCAUUAUUCAACAUGACACAUCAGAAGAAAUAAGUUUAAGAAAAUUCAGCCAUGGAAAUUUUUUUUCUUCUGAAAUUUUAAAAUUAAUAGAUUGUAUUUUCAAUUUAAAAAUAAGGGAACUAAAAUAAUAAAUUAGAAAAUAGUGACCAUAACUAUUUAAUAUGUUUGAUUAGUUUAUUUUGCUUUCAAUCUCUCUUUUAUUUAAUCUUGUAGUAUAAAACUGAUCAUUUUUGGUUAGUUUAUGUUGCUUGCAAUCUGUCUUGUUUCAAUCUUGUAAUAAACAAUUGAUAGCUCUUUGACCAUUGAAUAUUGAGAGUGGUUUAACACACAAUUUGAACCAAGUUGGAUUAUUUUUGGGUUAAAUUAGUUGUUAGUCCUCAUAAAAUUAGAACCUGCAAGUUUAAUUCCAAUUUUUUUAAAAAGGAUUUUAAUCCUCUACGUAUUCAUCUCUUGCACAUUUUAGUCCUCCAAGGGGUUAAUGUUACAAACUUUAAAUAUGUGGAGGAUUCAAGUAUCUAUUUUUCUUAUAGAGACUAAACUUAGAAUAUUCCAAUUUUUUAAUAUCCACGGUUCAUUAUGAAUUAUAAAGUUUGAAAUUUUAAAUAAUUGAUAAUUAAGUGUCUAUACUUUUAAAUAAUUUAUAACUUAUCAAUUAUUGAUAAAUUUAAAGACCCAAUCACAAAAUUUUGUAGGGCAAGAAAUUAUUUAAAAAUCACCAAAUAAUUGAAGUAAUUUGUGCAUAUACCUGCCAAUGCCAAAGUCCAGUGUGAGCCCAAUACUGUGGAAUAGUUACAUCUCCAAUUUGGAAUUUAGAAUUUACAUUACCUGCAAUUCCAUAGUGGAGAACUCCUUUUACAUUAAACAAAGUAAGCAACAAUUGGGUAGCAAGACCUGCAUUUAGCUAAAAAAAAGAAAAGACUAAGAAAAACAAUGAAAUAUAAUUAUAACCAUAAGUUUAAAUAAAGCCAUAACAAUAAAAAAAACUCAAUUAUGAUUCUCCGCAAUAGAUGGCCAACAAAGGAUAACUUGGUGCGACGAUGUGUUAUUUCUCAUGAUUCUCAAUUAUGUGUUACAGGUUGUGGACAAAAUGAAACAAUAGACCACUUAAUUAUUCAUUGUCCUAUUUUUGGUAAUCUCUGGCAACAAAUUAAAACUUGGAUUGACAUGUUUUAUGUGGACCUCAUUAGGUUUUGGACCAUUAUUAUCAGUUUGUUUAUUCUUCAAGUGGUUAUGCUCCAAGAAGGUAUUUUCUUCAUUUGAUUUGGUUUUGUGGUAUUUGGGUUCUUUGGAAUGAAAGAAAUAAAAGACUGUUUAUCAACACAGCUAAAACAACAGAUCAACUUCUUGAGAAGGUUAAGAUUACAUCUCUCAAAUGGUUGAAAUCAAAAAAUACGUGCUUUCCUUUUGGUUAUCAUUUGUGGUGGCAGCGUCCCCUUGCUUGUUUAGAGAUUGACUGAUGUAUUUUUCGUUCAUGUCUUUUGUGGUUUGAUUGGAACUAUCUUGUAACCUUGUUUUGUCUCCUUUAACACUCCUUGUGUUAGGGAACAAAACUCUUUAUUAAUAUAUCUCAUUUUGCCUUGGUAAAAAAUAAAAAUAAAAAAAGCUCAACUUACCAUACUCAAUCCAGUCAUAACAACAAUAACCUUUUUCUUUUCCAAUUCACCAAUGCGAAAAUGUCUUCCUACAAUGUCAAGUUAACUAAAGUCAAUGCUUGUUUGGUUGUACGAUGAUAAAAUUUGAUUUUGAUUACAUCAACCAAAAUUAAUCACCAAAAGCUUAUGAAAUAGUUUGGAUACAACCAGACUUAGAUCCACUGCUAUAAAUAAAAUCCUAUAGUCGGCACAUAGUAACUGCGUGUAAUCCGACAAAAUCUGAUGCAAAAAGAACUAGAAGGCAUCAUGCAUAUGUGAUUAUGUAUACAUGUAUAAUCAAAUACUUGAAAACAUGUUGUAAAAAUUACCAGCAAAGUCAAAGUAAGGAAACUUGUUAUGUGGAACAAAGCUUGAUGAUUGAAGAAGAGGGUUCAACUCAAAGUCAUUUGGCACAACUAUACCAAUAUAUGGUCCUUUGUUAUUGAUAUUGCUGAUUUCUCUCCAAGAAAUUUGAGAAAUUGCACCAUAGGCCUUGAUGCUACUUCCCAAUAAUACCAUAACAAGGACAACCAGAAACUCCAUUUUAUUCCAAUGUUUAUACCAUUCUAGUACUCCAGACACGAAAUAUAUAUAUAUAUAUAUAUAUAAAUGCAGAUAGGGUUGUGAAAAUAUUAAUUAAUAACGUCACGCAAGAAAUGAACAAUGUAUGAAAAAAGGAAAAUGCUAAUCGGUGUUCCAAGUAAUCAAUACAUUAAAAGUUUAAAAAGUGUAAUUUUUGAUUUAAAAUUUCAUUUUUUGCCUUCCCGGAAACACCAGUUAGCAUGACCCAUAAAAAAAAAUAUAAGAGAUUCAAUUUGACUUAUACGAGGAGCCAUUCAAUCAUAUUAAUUUUAUAUAUCAACAUGUUUGUAUAGUUACUAAAUUAUAUUACACAUUAGCCUGUCAAACAAGAAAUGAAGAAGAGACAAAAAAAAAAAAAAGUUGUUGGAAAUGAAAAAGAGUCCAUGUCGUAGAAAUGCAAGUUACAGUCAUACCCCUUUUUUUAGGUGACGAGUCCAUUAAAAUAUUGACCGUUUUUUUUUCCCACCUAUGAGUUUCUCCCGUAUCCUAUGCAGUUUAGAUUUAAAAUCCCAACUGCAUAAAAAUCUUGAAAAACCUCCAAAAACACGUUGAAAUAUUUCAAUUUUUAGAAUCCGAAUAAUGCACGAGAGGACCUUGUAGGAUGAAAAAAAUAAUGACCUAAAAUAUUUUGAUUUUCAAGUGUCGUCAUAUGUUACACUACAACAUGGGCUUGGUGCACCCCACCAAACCAAGUCUAAAACCUUCUAUAAUAUUUGAUUACAUAUAUUAAACCUCUUUUUUGUUUGUAUUUAAAACUCUCUUAAUAAAUAAGUUGAUUUCAUAAGGUUUUUAUUUUGAGUACAUUUGAGUGCACAAUACAAGAGAGAACUUGAAACACAAUUUCUUUCUCCCUCUCAAAAUAUCUCCUGCUUACACUUUGAGAAACACAUUAUAACAAGGAUAUGAAUUUGACAAGAACAUCAAAUGCAUUUUGUGAGGCUAAUGAUAAAAAAGAUUAUACUUCAUUUUGUGAGGCUAAAUCAAACAAUGCUCUAAUUAAUGGCAAUGAAAGGAGUAUCACCAAAUUUGGAGUUCAAAUGAUCUCUACAAUCUCUGUUGUCAACAAACACAUUGACACUGACCCGUUUUUUUACUCUCACCACCAUAGGCUUUCUUGGCAAGCAAGUUGUCUUAACACAACUACUCAAUUCAACAUUCUGUAUAGAAUAAGUGAAAAGUUAACCUCAAAUUAUUAUAUAUUUUCAGUUAUGUAGUGACUGAAAUGAGAUUUGGGUUGUUUGGAGUCACACAGAGUUAAUCACAUAUGAACCGUCUGACCAAGAGCAGACAAUUUAGAUUUCAUGUUCGGUUUAGUAUAAUUUAAAAUAAAAUAAAAAUAUGUAUUGACAUUUGGAUCGUUUGACCUUGAUGGAAUGCUAUAAAUUUAGGUGACUGUAUGCGUACAACUAUACAAAACCCAAAUCCCUCAAAAUGAUGAUUAAAUCGAAAUUUGUAUUUUAUCAAGUAUCAAUUAUGUACUAGUUUUUAGACUAAGAUUUCUAACUGAAAAAAUUGAUUUUACAUCUUGCUGCUCCUAAUUUUAAACUAAUUUUAUCAAGUAGACUCAUUAUCAUGAUCUAGAUCAUACACCUUUUUAUUUCUCUCAAUAUCUCGUCCCCAUAUUUUUCCUCUCCCUUUAUCUCAAUAUCAACAUUGCAUUAGAAUGUAGUAGAAGUGAAUGGGGGAUGCAUGACACAAAUUCCCAUAUCUCUCUCUCUCACACACACUCUCUCGCUCAUAAUGCAACACAAACCAGAAUAGGUUGAACAUAAUUGAACCAUGAUUGAACAUAUUAUGCAAAAAAAGGUAGAAGGCAUCAUAUGCAUAUGUGAAUAUGUGAUUAUGUAUACAAAUGUAAUCAAAUAAUUGAAAACAUAUUGCUCUAAAAAUUACAAGCAAAGUCAAAGUAAGGAAACUUGUUAUGUGGCACAAAGCUUGAUGAAUGAAGAAAGCUGAUUUCUCUCCAAUAAAGCUGAUUAAUCACACAUUCACACCAUAGGCCUUUGAUGCUACUUUCCAAAUAAUACCAUUACAAGGACACCUAGAAACUCCAUUUUCUUCCAAUGGUUAUAUCUUUCUUGUAAUUCAAAGAUGAAAAGUAUAUAAUUGUGAAAAGUUAAAUAAUGUCACACAAGAAAUGAACAAAGUAUAAAAAAAACAUAGAGAAUCAAUUUGACUUUGAAAAUGAAGAUGUCAAAGUAUAUAUAUAUUAGUGUGUCAAUGUCAAACAAGAAAAUGAAGAUGAGACAAAAAAGAGAGUAGUAAGGGAGUCAAUUUAAUAACUAUGUUAAUGCUCUGAAAUAUCCGUUGAUUUUGCUGAAUCUCUCAGACCAACCACAUUUAUUUUAUCUACAAAAUUCAAAGCUGAUACGAUGCUUAAAAAACAUGGGUUCAGUUUUACUCAAACUAAGGUAUGUUGGUAAAACAACAUUACUUUUCUUUCAUCAACAUGAUCAAUUAAUGCACUUUUUAUUGAAUCAAUUUGGAUGUUUUUAUUUGGUUACCAUGUUAUUGAAACAAAGUCUUCACCGUCAUUUAACAAUGACUAAUAUCCAUUAAAAAACUUGCGCGACACACAAAGUGGGUUCUUUCCUCCAAACCAAAAUUUCUCCAUACAAGAGUCAAGAAUCGAACCCUUGCCACUUGCUUAAUAAUUAUUCCAAACAAAAAUAGAAUUAUAGAUAGUCCAAACAAAAAUAGAAUAAUAGAGUCCAGGCAAGUUCUCCCCCCUCAAAGAGAAUAAAAUUACAAAGAUAUGGGUUUUCCAUAUACAUAGGGGUGAAAAUAAUCUUAGCAAAGUUGUAUCAAAUGACAAGCUAAGUGUUGAAAAAAUCAUGAAAAUUGAGAAGCAUGAUUUCAUUGUUGGAAUGUAUACAUCUAGACAAAAUUUAGAUGUACACUUGCGAACCAUGCUAAAAAGUCAAUAUUUUGUUUCAUCAAUGGUUAGAAGUUGAAAUUCUAUUUGGCUUUCAGUUGCUUGGAUUAUUUUGAAGGAAUGUAACAUGCGUAUUUUUUGUAGGAAGGAGGAAAACUUGUGGGCUCUUUGUAAAAGGGUAAAGCUUCCGAGUCUCUUACUGCAAAAUUGAAUGUUUUUCGGCACCAAUCAUGCCAUUCCAAAUCUCUAUAUUUCUAAUCUCAAUGUUGUAGUAGAGAAAGAUAUCCAAAUUAAGAAGCAAAUUGAAAAUUUCACGAUCACAAUUAGGGUUAAAUAUUUUCUCAAAGACAACGUAAUAGUUGAAAUUUUUGGCUUUCAAGAGCUAUCUUGAAAGCCAAGAAUUUCAACUAGUACGUGUUUGAUAAAAUAUUUAACACAAAUUGUGAAACUUCAAAAUUUCUUCUAAAGACAAUUGUCUUUCUCUCCUACGAUAUUGAGAUGACAAAAAAGAUUGAUUACUUCAGAAAAUAAUUCAGUUUUGCCUCAGACAUGGAAGAUUUAGAAUGACACAACUGAUGUUGAAAGGGAGAUUCAGAUGGCUAAGGCAAAAUAUGAAGUUGAUGUAGCAUUUUUUUAACCAAAGUGAGUUUCUUCUAGUUUGAGAAAAUAUUUUUAAUAGUCUUAAAAUUUGUGCAAUAAGUUAUCUGUUUAUGUUCAAUUAUAGGAGUGAGAUAAAUAUAAGUAUGACAUAGACCUUGAUAUUAACACUCUUAAUGAUCUGACAAUGUGUGCUUGGAAUGAUGUACCUUAUAAAAACCCUUCAAAACAAAAAUAGUCAUUUAAACUAGAUUUCGAAUUCAUAAUUCGAUUACAUAGAGGGAAGGUAUUAACAUCCGUUCAAAAACGGUUAUCUCUAGUUAAUUGUGAAAAAACUUUGUUAACUUAAAUACAUUUAUUUUCUCCUUAAUAUUAGAUACAAGUUAAAAUUCAAGUUUUAAAUAAAAUGUAAAGUAUAUAGAGAGGAAAAUAUAAAAAUAUUUGUGUGUUGGGGGUAGAAAAUCAAAGUUACGUAGUUUUUUUUGGGUAGAAACGUUUGUUUCUUGAUUUGUUUUAAAGAAAAGAUUCUUCUUGCAAUGAUUUUAAAUCAGGCUCAAAUGCCUAUUAUGAAAAUAUAAUGAACUAAUAAUAUAAAACAAGACAGUAAUUAAUUAAUCUUUGAACAAAUAGUUAAAAUAUUAUUAAAGUAAACGAAAGGAAAAUAAAAUAAAAAGGAUGAUAGAUUAAUUAAAGGGAAGUAGUGAUAUGAGAGGUUGUGGUUUGAUUCAAGGAAACAUUGUGAAUGAUGGGUUUUUGAUGAAUAUAGCAGUGUAGUGUAGUGUUGUUUGCAAAAUAUGAAAACUCUCUCUUUUCUCUUUUAUAGACUUUAAUUUCAUCUAUUUAUCUAUCACUAUGACCAAGAUAUAAAUCUGAGUUCUUUGUUUUUGUAUGUUUUGACAGUAAAAAUGGAUUUGCAUGGAUAAAAAAUGGAAAAGAUGGAUUUCACUUUUGAUUGCUUGCAUUCUUGGUGAAAACUUUAAUCAUACUUUGGUAAAUAAAGAGGAGUACAAGCAAGUGAAGAUAGAAGAGGGUACAAAAAGAGCUCAAAAUGUAGAAACGAAAAAGCAACUAGUAAAAAGAAGUUGCGAUGGUGCUGAAAAUAGGGGUAUUCAAUGAAGUGUGAUGUUGCCACUAAUUUUAUUUUGAGUUUCUAAGUUUUGAUUUUUUUUUUUUUUUUUUUUUUGUAGUUUAGAGCAGUUACUUGCAUAGCAAGUAAUACGGGUAGUUAGUAUUUUAUGACUUUCUAACUUAUUGUGUGUAAACACACAUUAUAUACUAACUAGCCAUAUUACUUGCUAUGUAAGUAACUCUCUAAACUACUAUAACAGAAGUUGAAGCACGCUUUCAAUUUCAACACACUUCUUAAUUCUAUUUCUCUACUAAUGAAACUACAUUUAAGAAUGUUUUUUUUUUAUCUCUUCUAAUUUUUCUAUCUUCUACGAUUUAGUCUUAAUGUCAGCUAAUUGAUCCUCAGAACUGCAAAACACUAGUUCUAUUCUUCCUUUAUUAACUUGGUUUCGAUAUGUUUGCUCCUCCUAAGAGCUAUAGUAAUUCUCCAAUAGUUGCACUACAUCUCUUGGUCUUGGAUGCUUUUUAUUAUGUAAUUAAUGGAAGUUGGAACCAUAUAGCUUGGCAUGCUGCGUAACAAGCCGCAAUAUACUCAACUUCACAUGAUGAGAGGACAAUAAUUGUUUGUUUCUUUGAGCACCAAGAGAUUGGUUCUCCAAAGAGCUCAAACUCAUAACUCAUAGUGCUUCUCCUAUUUUUACUUUUAGUGCAUUGCAACCUAGUUUUUUUUCUUCCUAUUGACAACACUGGUUUGAACAAUAUUGUUCAUUGAAGCACAAUGAACAUUUAGAUUUUCGCUUGUCUUUGGAACUUUUGCAUCUAUUUAGAUUUGAACUUUCUUUUGGUGAAUAUAUAUUUUUUAGUGUAACUCCUUCUUUCUUUAUCUAUGUAUUGGUCUUGUAUGCGUAUGUAAAUAAUAAAUAUUAUCCUUCCCAGUGCGCGGACAAAUUACAAAUAUGCUACAUACCGAUUUGUGGUAUAACGAUUUCCUUGAGCUCAUCGGCUAUAUUCUGCUUUAGCAAUAAGUUAUACGAACUAAAGUUUAUGCAAAAGCAUGCACAAUCACUAUAUAAUGUUUGUCUUAUGUCUGUUGAGUCUAUCAUUUUACAACGGAGAGGACCAGAGGAUAAAUCAAGAGUAAGAGGCUUUUUAAUGCACAUGGUCCUCAUUUCUGAGGCAAGUAUCUGUAUUUUGUAGAGACAUUUGUGAUAUGAACAUCACAAUUAUGACUUGCAAAUAGGAAAACAAUAGAGUUUAGAAACACAUAAUUAUUAAAUGCACAUGUAUUUCUUGCGCGCAAUUUAAAGUUUAAUCACUCGAGUUAACCGAGUUCUUUGCAGUGCAUUGCUACUUUCCUCCCAUACCAGCAAUUCAAUAAGUUACAGCCAUCAUAGUCCAGUAUUAAUACACAAACAACAACCUAAUAAAUAUAUGAACUUGAUUUUCCUAAUUCUGCAAUCACUAAUCUUCCUAUUUCCUAAUUAAUCUCAAUUAUCUUGUUAGUUUUUAGAGUGCGCACGUGUCCCUUUAUUCAUCAAAAAUGACAACGAAGAGUCAAGACUGUCGCUUUUAAAAAAAUAAAAUUGAAGGUUGAAGACAAACAUUUUAUCGUGUGUUUACGAAUAACGAAUGAUAGAGAAAAUUUGAGAGAUAAAAAGAUUAUGAUGACCUAGUAGAAGAGAUGACAAUAUUAUUGCAUUUCAAAUUCAAUAAAGAAUAAUUAUAUUUCAUUUUGAGUAUAUAAUCUAAGAGAGAAUUUGAAACACAUAAUUUCUUUUUCCCUCUCAAAAUGACCCUUGCUCAUGAGAAAGGGAUUAAAGCUACUGAAUUAUAAUAAAGAUAUGAAUUUGACAAGAACAUGAAAUGCAUUUUGAGAGGCUAAAGAUAAGAAGAUAGAUGCUUCAUUGGACAAUGCUGAACCUCCUCCAGCAAAAUCAGACAAUGCUCUAAUGGCAAUGAAAGGUAUUUUGUGUUGGAAACAAACUAAAGCAACUGCAGCACUUUCCAUGUCUGUUGGAGUAGCAUCGAAUUUACAAUUCAAAUGAUCUCUAUAUGCUUUGUUGUCAACAAAUAUAUUGGCAGUGACCCCUUUCUUUACUCUCACCACAAUAGGCUUUCUUGGUAAGCAAGUUGUGUUUACACAACUACUCAAUUCAACAUUCUGUGGAGAAUAAGUAAAACAUUAGCCUCAAAUAAUUGUAUAUUUUGAUUUGUGUAGUGGCUGAAAUGAGUUUAGGGUUGUGUGUGGUCAUAUGCAUCCAAUCACACAUGAACUGUCCAACCAUGAUCAUCGGUUUAGAUUUCAAGAUCCGUAUAUUAUAAUAUAAAAAAAAAAAAUCAAAAUAUGUAUUGAAAUUUAGACCGUCCUAUGGACGGUCAGAAUUCAGCUAACUGCAGGCAGUCACACUACACACAAUUUAAAUCCCUCAAAAUGAUUACUAAAUCGAUAUUUUUAUUUAAUCAAUUAUCUAAUGACCUAGUUUAUUAAAUUUGAACCUUUAUUCUAUUGAAAUAUCUAGUGCAUGUUUGGAUUGACUCUUUAGAGAGUCAAAAGUGAUCCUUAUGACUUAAAAUUUAUUUUGGUGUGUUUGGAGAUUAUUAAAAUUUGUUUUUCAUCUAGAAUCUAUUCUAAUUUUAAACAAUGAUUAUAAUUUUAACUCUGCACGUAAUUUUUGCACUCAAAUUCAUUAUUCAACUAAUUUUCCUGUGAAUGUAACAAAACACAAAUAUUUUUAUCUUAGAACUUACUUUUAACUAAAAGAAAAUUUACAAUAUCAAUUAAUCAAAAUCAAAUUUUGUACGCAGAACCAAACAAACACUUGUAAUUAGAUGGUGAUUAGGGGGUUGAACUCACCUUGAGCUUUCUUGCAAUUUCAAAGUAAGUUUUGUCAACUGGAACCCAAAAAACAGGCUGCCAAACUUCAGGAGUUCCAUCAACAGGAAAAAUUCUCUCUGGUUGAUACCAAACCUUGUUCAACAAAUUUUCCUCUGAUUUGGAAUGUUUUGUGUAGUUAUUGUAAUUCGAAAACUUAAGAUAGCCCAAUUCUGUGCCGAAAUCUCCAAUGUCUUCACCAAAUCUCUGCUCAAUUAAAUCAUAAGAGUAAGAUGAAAUUAUUAUAUGGGUUUGGCAAAUCAAAGUUAUCACUUUAAAAGUAGUAAUUAAGACAUCUUUAAUAUGAAAUGCACAUGUUCCAAGUCAAAGUUAUCACUUUAAACUUCUUAACCAUUUAUUAGAUUAUAUUUGGCAACUCUUAAUGAGGCAAAUCAGAAUUGAAUGAGAAUUGAUAUGUAAUAUUCCUUGACAGUAGCUGUUUAAUUAGCUCAUGAGCUGUAUUGUAAUUAGUCAACUUGUAUAUCGUAGGCAUAUCAGUCAUGAGACACAAAUCUAGGAAAAACUGUAGGUGCCUAUUUGUGUAUAUAAUCUUCAUAUCUUUGAGAAAUAAAAGACACUGAACCAUUAUUUUACAUGGUAUCAGAGCCUUCCCUUUAUCAGUAAAAUUCACACACGACAGAAAUAAUGGCAGAAAAGAAUGAAUCUGAAAAGAAAAGGCCAUCACCUUACGAUCUCAAUUCCAAUGAUAACCCUGGAAAUGUAAUCACACAGGUGCAGCUGAAGGGUGAAAACUACGGUGAAUGGGCUAGUGCUAUGAAAACAUCUUUGAGAGCAAGAAGAAAAUGGGGCUUCAUUGAUGGAACCAUAGAGAAACCGAAAAAAGAAUCUGAAAUGGAGGAUUGGUGGACUGUUCAAUCCAUGUUGGUGUCAUGGAUCUUGAAUACAGUAGAACCUACAUUACGAUCAACCAUGUCGUAUAUGGAAACCGCCAAAGAGCUUUGGGAUGACAUCAAGGAAAGGUUUUCAGUUGCAAAUGGUCCACGGAUUCAGCAACUAAAAUCUGACUUGACUCAAUGCAAACAAGGUGGAUUGACCAUGGUGGCUUAUUACGGAAAGAUGAAGGCCUUGUGGGAUGACUUGGAAAACUAUGAACAGGUACCAAUUUGUACUUGUCAAGGCUGCAAAUGUGGUAUUGCAGCGAAACUUGAGAAACGCAGACAGGAAGAACGAUGUCAUCAAUUCUUGAUGGGACUAGAUGAUGUGCUUUAUGGAACUGUUCGUUCAAACUUGUUAUCCACAGAUCCUCUUCCAUCUUUAAAUAAGAUGUACUCUAUUCUGGUACAAGAAGAAAGGAUGCGGAAUGUCAUCCGAGGUAAAGAAGAAAGGACUGAGGUCAUGGCCUUGGCUGUUCAAACAGGUGCAAGGAUGAAAGGGCGCGAGAUCAAGAACAAAUCAGUUUGUACAAACUGUAACAGAUCUGGUCAUGAUGAAGCCGGCUGUUUCCUAUUGAUCGGAUAUCCCGAUUGGUGGGGUGAACGUCCAAGAAGUGAUGAUAACGCCAGUGGACGAGGAAGAGGACAUAAUCGUAGUGGAAGUAGCAGUGGACGUGCACAAAAGAGCGUCGUACGUGCGCAUGCCGUCCAAAGUCUGGGAUCUAGCGGAGAUGGAGAAAAUUCUGUCAUGACAGGACUAAGUAGGGAGCAAUGGCAGACUUUGAUGGAUAUGCUCAACACUUCCAAGGUCACUCCAAAUGAAAGCAUGACUGGUAAGACUAAACUCAAUUUAUGGAUUUUGGACAGUGGGGCUUCCAAUCAUAUGACAGGAACCUUACAACACUUGUGUGACGUACGAGAAGUAUUGGGGUGUCCUGUUGGACUUCCUAACGGAGACACUACCACUUCAACUAAGGAAGGGACAGUAAAGCUUGCUGAUGGCUUGAAACUAAAAAACGUGCUUUAUGUUCCUCAGCUGAAAUGCAAUUUAAUCUCUAUAUCACAACUGUCAGAUGAAUCUCAAUGCAAUGUCCAGUUCACUGCUAAUUUAUGUGUUAUACAGGACUUCACUUUGAAGAUGCUGAUUGGUCUGGGUGAACGAAGGGACAGAUUCUACUUUUUCCAAGAAAUUCCAAAAUUGAAGGCUUGCAGAGUUGAAGGGAUGAAUCAACUAGAAGUAUGACACAAGCGUUUGGGACAUCCAUCUUGGAAAACUACUCAUUUAAUUUCUAAUGGCAGUGGUAGUGGUAAGAAUGUUAGUGAGUUAUCAAAUAAAUUUUGUGAUACAUGCCAAAGAGCUAAGCAAACUAGAGAAACAUUUCCAUUGAGCAAUAAUAAAGCUUCUAAUAUAUUUGAUUUGAUACAUUGUGAUUUAUGGGGAGCAUAUAGAACUCCUUCUUCUUGCGGUGCUUCAUAUUUUCUUACUAUUGUCGAUGAUUGCUCGCGUGCAGUAUGGAUUUUUUUACUAGUUGACAAGGAAGAAGUGGCACGAACACUAAUAAAUUUUUUUGCUAUGAUAGAGAGGCAGUAUAACAAAAAGGUUAAAAGUGUUAUAAGCGAUAAUGGAACAGAAUUUAUUUGCAUGAAGAAUUAUUUUGCUGAACAUGGGAUGAUAUUUCAAACCUCUUGUGUGGGAACUCCUUAACAAAAUGGUAGGGUUGAAAGAAAGCAUCUUCAUAUUCUCAAUGUGGCACGAGCUUUGAGGUUCCAAGGAAGUUUGCCCAUUGAUUUUUGGGGUGAGUGUAUCUUGACAGCAGGGUACUUGAUUAAUCGUACUCCAAGCUCAAUAUUGAAUGGGAAAACUCCGUACGAAGUAUUGCACGGAAAACCACCCUCUUACACUCACCUACGCAUAUUUGGUUCAUUAUGUUAUGCGUGCAACCAAGGUACGAAAGGAGACAAAUUUUCAAGUCGCAGUCGUAAGUGUGUCUUCGUAGGAUAUCCUUAUGGCCAAAAAGGAUGUCGAGUCUAUGAUCUCGAGACUUGUGAGUUCUUUGUAUCAAGAGAUGUUGCUUUCUUUGAAACUCAGUUUCCUUUUCAAAAACAAAAAUCUGAACCAACCCCUCCACUCAUCAUUAGUGAAGACAUUGAUGCAGAAAGUUCCAGUGAUCAUCCAAAUAACGAGCAAGGGUCUCUUGAAGAUACAUUUGAACCAAUAACAGAUGCGUUACUUAACGAUAGGGAGGGAACUAAUCGUAUUGAAGUUGUUGUUGAAGAUGAUACUAUUGUUGUUCCUCCAGAAACGCAGGAUGAGAUUGAAUCUUUGGGAAGAGGUUGUCGUGUCAAAUACACAUCUACUCGGCUGAAAGACCAUGUCACGAAUACAGUUCUUAAGUUGAGUCCUCCCUCUCAUUCACCAGCUGAAUGUCAUCCUUCAGGUGCACCCUAUCCUAUUGAACAUUAUGUAAAUUGCGAAAAGUUUUCUUUUCCACAUAAACAAUUCCUUGCUGCCAUUAUUGUGGACAAAGAACCAUUGUAUUUUCAUGAAGCAGUAAAGGAUGUUCGUUGGAGAGAAGCAAUGCAAAUUGAGAUUCAAGCCCUUGAACGCAACAAUACUUGGACUAUGCAACCCCUACCACCCGGAAAGAAAGCUCUCGGGUGCAAAUGGGUUUACCGCAUAAAAUAUCACUCGGAUGGGACAGUUGAACGCUUUAAAGCACGAUUAGUUAUACUUGGAAACCAUCAAGUGGAAGGAAUCAACUACACUGAGACAUUUGCACCAGUCGCAAAAAUGGUCACGGUACACACUGUCUUAGCUGUGGCAUCAGCAAAAGCUUGGGAACUUCAUCAAAUGGAUGUGCACAACGCCUUUCUACAUGGAGAUUUGCACGAGGAAGUCUUUAUGAAAAUGCCUCCUGGUUUUUCAAUAUCACAACCAAACACAGUCUGCAAGCUUCGCAAAUCACUCUAUGGGUUAAAACAAGCUCCAGUUGCUAGUUCGCUAAGCUCUCUGCUGCCCUCAAAUCAUAUGGUUUCCAGCAGUCAUACCUCGACUACUCUUUGUUCACUUUGCAGCAAGAAGGAACUCAACUUGUGGUCCUAGUAUAUGUUGAUGACUUGAUUAUUGCAGGAAAUACUCCUUCUGCUAUCAAGCGAUUUAAGCUCUAUCUUAGCACCUGCUUUCAUAUGAAAGACCUUGGUGUCUUGAAGUAUUUUCUAGGUAUUGAAGUUGCCCGAAAUUCUACAGGGAUCUCUCUUUGUCAACGCAAAUAUGCUCUUGACAUUAUAUCUGAAGCUGGACAUCUAGGUGCUAAACCCGCUGCAACUCCGUUGGAGCAAAACCAUCACUUGUCACUUGCUACGGGGCAAUUUCUCUCCAAUCCUGAGCAAUAUCGACGUUUGGUUGGGCGUUUGAUUUAUUUAUGUUUCACGCGGCCUAAGUUGUCAUAUAGUGUCCACAUUUUAUCUCAAUACAUGCAACAACCUAGAACAGAACAUUGGGAAGCUGCACUUCGAGUAGUUCGCUUCUUAAAAGGUAAUCCGGGACAAGGAAUAUUUUUGGGUAGUGCAUGUGACUUACAGCUCCACGGUUGGUGUGACUCAGACUGGGCCAGUUGUCCCUUGACGCGACGCUCUGUCACUGGUUGGCUAGUGUUGCUUGGUAAAUCUCCUAUUUCUUGGAAAACAAAGAAACAACAUACUGUCUCUCGGUCCUCUGCUGAGGCGGAAUAUAGGUCCAUGGCAACUACUACAUGCGAGUUAAAAUGGUUAAAGGGGAUCCUCUCCAACCUAGGAGUUGCUCAUGAUAAACCCAUGAUUAUUCACUGUGAUAGUCAAGCAACCUUACACAUUGCGAAAAAUCCUGUGUUCCAUGAACGUACCAAGCACAUUGAAGUGGAUUGUCAUUUUGUUCGGAACGAAGUUCUCAAAAACAAUAUAUGUCCGACUUAUGUCUCUACCAUUAUUUUACACCCUUAUUUAUAUUUAGGAUUGAAUUAAAUUAGUAGUAGGUGUAAAAAAAUUUACAUUGUCACUUAAUAGUAAUAGUUAGAUCAUUAUAAAUUGUUGUGAAUUCCGGACAUAAAAUCAUACCAAUACAAACUAUGAUGUGUGGAGCAAAGGAAAAUAGUAACCAAUUUCAAAGUAAAUACAAGCAACAACAAUAUUAACAACACCUAGAUCUAAUCUAGUAAUCAAAGUGAAAAGCACAAAACCACAAACAAAAGAUAAAAAGGAGAGAAGAGAGAAACAAACACACCAAAGAUUGUUCACCCAGUUUGGUCCAAACUUGAAAUACUCUGGAGGAGAGAUUGAUCUCUCCAAUCCACCAUCAAUGAGUUCUUACAAAGAGAUACAAAAGAGUUACAAGAAAUUAGCUUUGACAAGUUCACAAAGAACAACUCUAAUUUCUACCUUUUUUUCCCAAUCUCACCAAUGAAUAAGACACUCAAUGAUUUUUCACUCACCAAGGUGUUUACAAUGUUUCCCAACCCAAGAGAACUCUAAUCAAAGACUCUCAACCCUAAAGUUACCUCCUUUGAUUCCCCAAGUUUUCUCUCUCUUCCAGCUCUCCAUCAAAAUCUGCAAAGAACACUUAUAUAGCAGUCUUCAGCGUCAAAAUUGUGUCACGUUUUCCAUCAAUCGUGUCACGAUUGAUGCGUACGACCCAAUGUACGACCAACCUUAUCCUGAAAAUCUUGCCCAGCAAGCCAAAAAUCGUGUCACGAUUGGACACCCUGAAAACAGCUCUUGACAUUACCAAAAUCGUGACACGCUUGCCAAAUCGUGUCACGAUUUCUCUGCUUCCCAACUUUGCAAUUUGAAGACAUACACAACAAAAAUGUUUGACAUUAAUCAUAUCUAAUAAAAUUGUAUUCAAAAUCGUGGAAAAUAAAAACUUCAUUUUUUGAAAAAGAAAGUAAACAACUAAUGGAAAAUAAAAACUUCAUUUUACACCAGUCCAUAUUUUCUCCUAAUUAUUUUAGACAACACUUUAUAAUCUUGAAGUUGUUCUUCUAUCAUGCUCGAUGUAUCUUUGAAGAGGUACCGGAGCUCGACAUCUCUCUCCUUCAUCUUUGUGUGCAUUUCCUUCAUUUGCAACUCUUUUUCCUUCAACUUGUUACUUUCUUGCACUCUACAUCCCAAUUUUUCUAAAGCCGAAGCUUUUAACUUUGCCGCAUCUUCCAUCAUAGUUAGAUCAACAAUAGCCGAAUGUGUUUCGUUUACUUUUGAUUUUCCCUUUCUUUUUUGUUGCUUUUGUCCCAAUUGGACGAACCACAUUAUUUUCAGUUGGGUUGUAAUCGUAACUUUCUGGCAUGCACGAAUUAGAAGAGGAUGGGUAUGCUCCAGAAGCCGAAGUCUUUGUUCUUUUACUAGCUCCUUCAAGUGAUUGGUUUGACUAUUUAGGUUCAUCUUUUAACAAUCUCCACACAAACUCUUGAUAGAAUAUUAUAUUUAAUAAAAUUAAUAGAAUAUAAUAUUCGGUCAUUAUUGGCUAUUAUUAGUUCCCUGUAAAUAGGCUGUAUCAUAAUUAGUAAGUUGACCAGACGUUACACAAUAGUUGUAUAUAUUCUAUUCAGAUCAAUGAGAAAGGCAAGCAUUUUGUUAUCUUACAUGGUAUCACUCCUAACCGAUCCCUCUCUCUAAUAAAAUAAAAAAAAAAGAAAGAAAGAAAAACACAAAAACAGAGUCGCAGAACUCUGUUCUCCUUCUUCUCACUCACGCACGCACAGUGCCGCCGCGCCCCUCCCUCUUCCUUUGCGCCGCCGCCGCCUCUGUUGCCAUGUAAUCCGAUCGAUCUUCGAUCCUUGACCAGCAGUGCUCGUGCGUCCCUUCCUCCACUUCGACCGUGCCCACUGCGCCGUCAUCGCCCCCUUUCUCAAUCUGGUUGUGUUUCACCUCCGAUCACCUCCGUUUCUCAUUUUUCUAUGCUGUUCUACCUUAACCAUCACUCAUCAUGUUCGAUUCCGACCUCAACGAUGAUCAGAGCAGCGCCGCCGCCUCUGCCUUCGCCGCUGCCGCCGCCGCUGCUGUCAAUUCGAUCAUUUUCAAAAAUGGCUUUCAUCCCGCUCUUGUUGUCUCUAAUAUUAGGAACCACAUUCCUAUUAGUCUUGAGUUGGAAAAGGACCAAUAUGGAACCUGGGCGGAACUCUUCUGCAUUCAUGCUCGUUCUCAUCGAGUAUUGCAUCACAUUGUUCCCUCUACAGACAAAGCACCGCCACUACCUGCAGACGCCGAAUAUGAGCAAUGAACCACUCUAGAUGCCACCGUGCUUUAGUGGAUUUAUUCCACAAUUUCCACUGACUUACUGAUGACUAUUUUGGAACCAAACUCCACUGCGGUAGCCGCAUGGAAUUGUUUGGUAGACAUCUUUCAAGACAAUCAAAACGCCCGUGCUGUCACUCUCGAGCAAGAGUUCUCUAACACCCGCAUGGAAGACUUUCCCAACGUCUCUGCAUACUGCCAGCGUCUCAAGAUGCUCUCUGACCAAUUGAGGAAUGUCGGCUCUCUCGUCAACAAUCACCGUCUGGUACUCCAACUGAUAUCUGGACUCCCUGAAGCUUAUCGUAGUGUGGCCACCCUGAUUCGCCAGAGUAAUCCUCUUCCUGCAUUUUAUCAGGCUCGCUCCAUGCUCACCUUGGAAGAAGCUGGCAUGGCUAAAAUGGCUAACACCGGCUCUCCUGCUGCCUUACACACCACUCAGCAGUGACCUCCUGAGGAUACCUCUCAACGUGGCAACCGUCGUCCCAACAACCCCAACAAUCGGUCUCGCUCUCGUGGCAAUCAGGGUCGCGGAGGGGGGUGUGGUAACCGUAGCGGACCUCAGUCUGGAGCUCCCAACACCUCCCCACCCUGGUCUUCUCCUCCUUGGCCGCAGCAAUAACAAUACCCUGCCUGGCAAUCAUGGGGUUGGACCCCACCACCAUGGGCCAUACCUCCGUGUCCGUAUCCCACAUCUUAGUGGACACGCCCUACUGGCCGUACCGCUCCUCCGAGACAGUCGGCCAUCCUAGGACAGCGUCCUCAGGCGUAUGCAGCUUCUACUUCAUCUCUUACACCAACUGACAUUGAGGCAGCUAUGCACACCAUGUCUCUACAUCCUCCUGAUACUCAGUGGUACAUGGAUACCGGCGCAACAUCUCACACGACAGCAUCACGAGGUAAUCUCUCAUCUUAUUCUCCUAUAAGUCAUUUAAAUCAGAAAAUUAUUGUUGGCAGUGGCCAUGGAAUUCCAAUUCACGGCACCGAACACACACAACUCACAACCUCUAACCAACCCAUUCACUUAAAACAUGCCCUUCAUGCCCCAAAAAUUAUUAAAAAUUUAAUCUCUGUAAGACAACUCACCACUGACAACAAUGUAUCUGUUUCUUUUGACCCUUUUGGUUUUACUGUCUCUGAUUUUCAGACGGGGAUUCCUCUUCUCAGAUGUAAUAGUCGUGGCGACCUAUAUCCAGUCACCCCUCCCAACAAUUUUGUCGAUCUUACGUCCAGUCUAUGGCACGAUCGUCUUGGUCAUCCUGGCGUGUCUGUUUUAAAUUCCCUACGCAAGAAUAAAUUCAUAUGUUGUGAAACUUCUCAUAAUUCUGUCAUCUAUGACUCGUGUGUUUUAGGCAAACAAGUUAAAUUGCCAUUUUUUAAUUCUCAAACUGCUACUCUCAUGCCUUUUGAUAUUUUACAUAGUGACUUGUGGACUUCUCCUGUUUUAAGUUCUGCUGGCCAUAAAUAUUAUGUUUUAUUUUUAGACGACUUCACAAAUUUCUUGUGGACCUUUCCUAUUAGUAGAAAAUCUCAGGUUUUUGAAAUGUUCAAGUCACUUACUUCUCUUAUUCACACUCAAUUUUUGCAAAAUGUAAAAUCCUUCCAGUGUGACAAUGGCGGUGAAUAUAAUAAUGAGCUAUUUCAACAAUAUUGUACUACUAAUGGCCUUAUUUUUCGCUUCUCUUGCCCUCACACAUCCUCCCAAAAUGGGAAAGCGGAACGAAAAAUAAGAACCAUUAAUAAUAUGAUUCGCACUAUGCUAGCUCACUCUUCUGUUCCCCCACAAUUUUGGCAUCAUGCACUUCACAUGGCAACUUAUUUGCUAAAUAUUCUUCCCUGUAAAACACUUCAAAAUCAAUCACCAACACAGCUCCUUUACCACCGUGAUCCCAGCUACACACAUUUACGAGUCUUUGGUUGUCUGUGUUAUCCAUUACUCCCAUCACCUACCAUUCAUAAAUUACAACCCCGUUCUACUCCGCGUGUCUUCUUAGGUUAUCCCCUGAAUCAUAGAGGUUACAAGUGUUUUGAUUUGUCUAACAGAAAGUUAAUAAUUUCGAGGCAUGUUAUCUUUGGUGAAACUCAAUUUCCCUUCACCAAAAUACACUACCCUUCCCCUCACUCAUAUGACUUUCUAGACAACGACUUACACCCCUACCUCAUACAACAGUGGCAAACUCAACAUCCACCACCGGAUACUCCUAACGAACCACCAGCAACAACCACAAUGGCCCAACCAAUCGACCCAACUCCACUAAAUUCACAUACUACAAUCUCCCCUACCUUAAUCUCACCAAUUCAACCACAUCUUCCACCACCUACUCGCACCAUCAUCACCCGUAGCAUGAAGGGUAUUACUAAACCCCGCACAAUGUUUAACUUAUCCCUUUCACACUCAAACCACACCAUCUCUCCCAUACCUAAAAAUCACAAACUAGCCUUAUCGGACCCGAAUUGGAAAUCUGCAAUGCAAUCUGAGUUUGAUGCACUUAUUAGAAAUAAGAUGUGGGAUUUAGUUCCUCGCCCUAGAGAUGCUAAUCUUAUUCGAUGUAUGUGGAUUUUUAAACAUAAGAAAAAUUUUGAUGGGUCUUUUGAGCGCUAUAAGGCUCGCCUUGUUUGUGAUGGCAGGUCACAGGUUGCAGGUGUGGAUUGUGAUGAGACUUUCAGCCCGGUGGUAAAACCCGCUACCAUUCUAACAUUACUCACCAUUGCUCUCUCUCACUCAUGGCCCAUUCAUCAGCUGGAUGUUCAGAAUGCUUUUUUGCAUGGUGAUCUUCACGAAACUGUCCACAUGCAUCAACCAUUGGGUUUUCACGACUCUCGUCAUCCGGACUACGUUUGUCGUUUGAAGAAGUCGCUUUAUGGUCUCAAGCAAGCGCCUCGAGCAUGGUACCAACGCUUUGCUGACUAUGUAAUUACCAUUGUUUUUCGACAUAGCACAUCAGAUCAUUCUCUCUUCAUAUACCGACAGCAAUCCGACAUGGCCUACAUUCUGCUCUAUGUGGACGACAUUAUCCUUAUUACUUCCACUCAUGCCCUUCGCCAAUCCAUUAUGUCCCUCUUGGCAUCCGAGUUUGCAAUGAAGGAUUUGGGUCCCCUGAGCUAUUUUUUGGGUAUUGCCGUCUCUCGUCAUCCUGGUGGUCUCUUUCUCAGUCAAAGCACCUAUGCCUCUGAAAUCAUUGAUCGUGCUGGGAUGCAAUCUUGCAAAUCAUCUGCCACCCCUGUUGAUACUAAACAAAAACUCAGCAUUUCAUCAGGCACACCUUAUGAAGAUCCAUCUCUCUAUCGUAGUCUUGCAGGAGCUUUACAAUACCUCACAUUCACUAGACCCGACAUCUCUUACGCUGUUUAGCAAGUUUGUCUUCACAUGCAUGCACCUAGUACAGAACACAUGCUUGCUCUAAAACUCAUUCUUCGUUAUGUUCAGGGUACCGUACAUUUUGGACUACAUUUAUCACCAUCUCCCAUCACCAAACUCCUUUCCUACACUGACGCCGAUUGGGGUGGAUGUCCUGACACCUGACGUUCCACUUCUGGAUACUGUGUCUUUCUCGGUGACAACCUCAUCGCUUGGUCCUCCAAGAGACAACCCACUCUCUCUCGGUCUAGUGCUGAAGCGGAAUAUAGAGGUGUUGCUAAUGUUGUGUCUGAGUCAUGUUGGCUUCGUAAUCUCUUACAGGAGCUCCACUUUCCUAUUCCUCAGGCUACUUUGGUGUAUUGUGACAAUGUUAGUGCCAUCUACCUAUCUGGCAACCCUGUGCAGCAUAUCAACGUACCAAACACAUUGAAAUGGACAUACACUUUGUACGGGAAAAAGUAGCUCGUGGUCAGGCACGUGUCCUCCAUGUUCCAUCUCGACAUCAGAUUGCAGAUAUCUUCACCAAAGGGCUUCCCCGCAUUCUCUUUGAUGAUUUUCGGACCAGUCUCAGCGUCCGUGAACCUCCCGCUUCGACUGCGGGGGUCUGAUAGAAUAUUAUAUUUACUAAAAUUAAUAGAAUAGAAUAUUCGGUCAUUAUUGGCUAUUAUUAGUUCCCUGUAAAUAGGUUGUAUCAUAAUUAGUAAGUUGACUAGACGUUACACAAUAGUUGUAUAUAUUCUAUUCAGAUCAAUGAGAAAGGCAAGCAUUUUGUUAUCUUACAACUCUAACAUGAAACAUUCAUGUGUAUAUUGAGUAUAGAUUAAUAUGCAUCUCCCAUGACAUCACUCUAAGCUACCACUUUUUUUCUUCUUGGAUAGGCUUGCUUGUAGCACCCUCCAAAUUUUUUAAUUAUGGAAUUCACCUUCGACCAUCGAGAUUUUAGUUGUACUGGUCCCUUUGCAAGGAAAUAACCACAAUGUUCAUUAUAACCAUCUGCAAUUCUUUUGCCAAAAAACAUUUGCUCUUUGAUUUACCCCUGUACAACUGCAUCCUUAGAAAUAUUUAGCCAUGAUUGGAUGAGGAGUUUAUCUUCCUCUGGGGUGAACCUUACUCUUUGCUGUUUUUGAGUUGCAUGGUCUUCCUCAUUGAGCACAAUACUGUCUGGCCCAACUUGAGCAGAAGAUGGUGGAGUAUGAACUUUUUGUGCAAAGUUUGACAUUGUUUCAUGCUUUUUUCAUAAUCAGCGACGGUGUUAGUUGGUGGUGAUUGAAACAUGGGAAAUUGUUAUGGAAAUGGGGGUCUAGAAAAUGAAAAAAAUAUUAGUAUUUUGAGUUUGAAAAGGACGAGUUUGAAGAUUGAGAGGAUUUUGAAAAUUUGAAGAAGAGGGAGAUUGAUGAUUUUGCAUUAUAUUGAAAAAAGGGUUAUUUUGAAGGAGUAAUUAAAUACAAGAAUUAUCAACCGCUAAUUGUGUAAAAUUUCCAACGACUAUUGAUGCUACAUGCAAAUUCAAAUUCAACUAUUAUCUGCAACUAUUAUAUAAUUUAUUUUUUAAUAUUAAAAUAAUACAAUAAUUCAAUAUAGAGAAAAAAUAAAAUUAAUUGUAUAUGUGUGACCCAACAAUAGGAGAGAGAUAGUGCAUAUAAAAACACCAAUCUUUAUGAGUAUCAUAUUCAUUGAUAUCACAAUAGGGUGUUUGUUUAACAUGAUGCUAAAUAAGGGAACAAGAAGGUAUCAAAAUAAAAUUCUUAUAUUUAAUGGUUGUUUAGUUUAACAUGCUUUUCAAUCUAUCUUUCUAAAAUUUCCUAAUGAAAAAAAAUAAAAUUGGCAGCACUUUGACCAUAGAGUGCUGACUGUGGCUUAACACACAACUUGGACCAAUUUGGUUGGACAGUGUAUUUUAAUACAUUAUCCAAAAGCAUCAAAUCUAGGCUUGUGGAGAAUAUGCUUCUUUGUUACCAAGUUUUUUUUUUUUUUUUUUUGUUACAUGUUACCAAGUUUUCUGGAAGGCAGCUUUAUGGAUGAUUUUUAAAAUUUAAUUACUAUGAAAAUAUCGAAAUUAUUGGAUGAUAUUUAAGUAGAUUUCUAAACAAGAAAAAAUAUAUUCCUAAAAUAAAAAAUUAUUGAAAAAUUAGUGGAAUAUGCUUCUUUAAGUUUGUUAAUACUCUAUUUAUAAUUAGAUCGUUGAACUUUUAAACAAUGGAAAAUGUUAACAAAUAUCCUUAGAAUAUUGUUUAAGAAAAUAAAAAGAAUAAUUUUUGCAUAGAAAAUAAUGUAAUUAUUACUUUGAGACUACUUUGCUCUUAUGACACCUGUUAACACGACAUUUAAACAACUAUUGAAAAAUUAUGAUUCCAUUUACAAAUUUUUGUAACUUCGAAAACUAUAUGAAAGUAUCUAAAUAAUUGAAGCAACUUGUAUGUACCUGCCAAUGCCAAAGUCCUGUGUGUGCCCAAUACUUUGGAAUAGUCACAUCUCCAAUUUGGAAUCUAGAAUUUAAAUUACCUGCAAUUCCAUAAUGUAGAACUCCUUCUAUAUUAAAUAAAGUAAGCAACAAUUGAGUUGCAAGACCUGCAUUUAGCUACACAAAAAGAAAGCAAAAGACUAAGAAAAAAGAAAGAAAUAUAACCAGAAGUUUAAGUAAAUGCAUAAGCAAGAAGAAAUUUAGCUUACCAUACCCUCUCCACUCAUAACAACAAUAACCUUCUUCUUUUCCAAUUCACCAAUCCGAAAAUGUCUUCCUACAUCAUCAAAUUUACCAAAAAUCAAUUGACGUCGUAAUGUUCUAUCAUAAAUUUAAAAUUUUAUUGCUAUUGGUGUUAAUGAGCAUCUCAAACUUAAGAACAACUAGUACUCAUCACAAAAAUCUAAUGAACUAGUUUGGAUAUAAAUGGAUGCAGAAAGAGAAAGAAUGCAUCAUAUGCAUAAGUAAUUAUGUAUACAAAUAUAAUCAAAUGUUGUAAAAAUUACCAGCAAAGUCAAAGUAUGGAAACUUGUUAUGUGGCACAAAGCUUGAUGAAUGAAGAAGAGGGUUCAACUCAUAGGCAUUUGGCACAACUAUACCAAUAGAUGGUCCUUCGUUAUUAAUAUUGCUGAUUUCUCUCCAAGAAAGUUGAUUAAUGGCACCAUAGGCAUAAAUGCUAUUUCCCAAUAAUACAAUCAUCACAAGGACACCUAGAAGAAACUCCAUUCUCCUCCAAUGGUUAUCUUUCAAGUGGUUCAAAAAUUAAAAUAUACAAUUGCCCACAUGGUUGUGAAAGUAUUAAAUAAUGUCACACAAGAAAUGAACAAAAUAAAGAUAGAAUAAAUUUGGAUAUGAUUUCAUGCAUGGAGUCAAUCAAUCAUUUUUUUAUAUCAACAUCAUAAAAUAAAUGUGACAUUAAUUUAUUUGUGAAGUCCAGACAAUAUGCCCCCACCCCACAUAGACUAGGCUAUGCUUUUUGAAUAGAUGUCAACCUCUUAAAUAAAUAUCAAUUACUCCAUCCGUUUUUAAGUAUAAGCAAAUUUUAUUUCUUAAGUUCAUUCAAUUAAUAAUGUAUGUGGUUUAUAAUAUGGACCACAUACAUCAUUAAUUGAAUAAACUUAAAAAGUAAAAUUUGCUUAUAUUUAGAAACGGAGGGAGUAUCUUGUUAGUGUUUACGGUUGUGCAUGUGACCCUUUGUUCACUAAAAAGACAACAAAUAGUUAAGAAUGCCACAGUUAUUUCAACUUGAGCUUCAACUUGCUAACGUUGAUUUCGAGGUUGCUUUGGAAAGAGUAGCUGAUUAUUUCAACAAAGGUUGAGGAGAUGUCACUAAAUUUGUUUCCAUCAUGGAUAGUUGUAUCCAAUUCUGUAGGAGGCAAGCAAAUGAGGUUGCACAAGAAUUAACUAAGGCAGCCACAUCUAAUACUAGUUUACGUAUCUUUGAUAAAAUUUCAACAUGUAUUACUGAUUUAAUUUUUAAUGAAAUGAUAUAAGUUACUUUCCCUAAAAUAAGUGCCGCAUUUAAUAAAACAUUCAAUUGAGGAGAUGACAAUACUAUUGCAUUUCAAAUUCAAAAAAUAAGUAGAUUUCAUUAUGCUUUUAUUUUGAGUACAUAAUACAAGAGAAAAAUUGAAACACAUCAUUUCUUUCUCCCUCUUAUAAUAACCCUUGCUUAUACAUUAAGAAAGGGAUUAAAGCUACUAAAUUAUAAUAAAGAUAUGAAUUUGACAAGAACAUCAAAUGCAUUUUGAGAGGCUAAUGAUAUGAAAAUAGAUACUUCAUUGCUCAAUGCAGAACCUCCUCCAGCUAAAUCAGACAAUGCUCUAAUGGCAAUGAAAGGUAUUUUGUGUUGGAAACAAACUAAAGCAACUGCAGCACUUUCCAUGUCUGUUGGAGUAGCAUCAAAUUUGCUGUUCAAAUGAUCUCUAUAAGCUUUAUUGUCAACAAACAUAUUGGCACUUACUCCUUUCUUUACUCUUACAACCAUAGGCUUUCUUGGCAAGCAUGUUGUGUUAACACAUAUACUCAAUUCAACAUUCUGUGGAGAAUAAGCGAAAUGUUAGCCACAAACAAUUAUAUAUUUUCAUCUGUGUAGUGGCUGAAAUAAGAGUUAGCUUGUGUAUAUCACACUUAACCAAUCAAAUCUGAAUCGUUCGAUCAAGAUUGGUUAGUGUAGAUUUCAAGUUCGGUAUGUUAUAAUUAAAAAAAAUCAAAAUAUGUAUUGAAAUUUAGACCGUCAUUAUAACUCCAGGUAGUCACACUAAACAUAGUCUAAAUC